GACGUAGGGCGCGAGCGUUGUCCGGAUUUAUUGGGCGUAAAGAGCUCGUAGGCGGCUCGUUGCGUCGGCUGUGAAAACCCGCAGCUCAACUGUGGGCUUGCAGCCGAUACGGGCGGGCUUGAGUUCGGUCAGGGGAGACUGGAAUUCCUGGUGUAGCGGUGAAAUGCGCAGAUAUCAGGAGGAACACCGGUGGCGAAGGCGGGUCUCUGGGCCGAUAUGAUCGCUGAGGAGCGAAAGCGUGGGGAGCAAACAGG
rnacentral:rRNA from 1 species